CCCUAGCCCAGAUAGCAGCGGCAUCCUUCUUGUGGUCUCGUUUUUUUCUAACGGGACAACAAGAAGAUAUAGCGAAUAGCUGGAAAUAGC
rnacentral:sRNA from 1 species